rnacentral:rRNA from 1 species
UAAAAACCCCGACUUCGGAAGGGGUGUAUUUAUUAGAUACAAAACCAAUGCCCUUCGGGGCUCUUUGGUGAUUCAUGAUAACUAUACGAAUCGCACGGCCUUGCGCCGGCGAUGGUUCAUUCAAAUUUCUUCCCUAUCAACUUUCGAUGGUUGGGUAUUGGCCAAACAUGGUUGCAACGGGUAACGGAGGGUUAGGGCUCGACCCCGGAGAAGGAGCCUGAGAAACGGCUACUACAUCCAAGGAAGGCAGCAGGCGCGCAAAUUACCCAAUCCCGACUCGGGGAGGUAGUGACAAUAAAUACUGAUACAGGGCCCUUUCGGGCCUUGUAAUUGGAAUGAGUACAAUUUAAAUCCCUUAACGAGGAACAAUUGGAGGGCAAGUCUGGUGCCAGCAGCCGCGGUAAUUCCAGCUCCAAUAGCGUAUAUUAAAGUUGUUGUGGUUAAAAAGCUCGUAGUUGAACCUUGGGCCUGGCUGGCCGGUCCGCCUCACCGCGUGCACUGGUCCGGCCGGGCCUUUCCCUCUGUGGAACCCCAUACCCUUCACUGGGCGUGGCGGGGAAACAGGACAUUUACUUU